UACGGGGGGGGCAAGCGUUGUUCGGAAUUACUGGGCGUAAAGGGCUCGUAGGUGGCCAACUAAGUCAGACGUGAAAUCCCUCGGCUCAACCGGGGAACUGCGUCUGAUACUGGAUGGCUUGAAUUCGGGAGAGGGAUGCGGAAUUCCAGGUGUAGCGGUGAAAUGCGUAGAUAUCUGGAGGAACACCGGUGGCGAAGGCGGCAUCCUGGACCGAGAUUGACGCUGAUGCGCGAAAGCCAGGGGAGCAAACGGG
rnacentral:rRNA from 1 species